GAUGAACGCUAGCGGCAGGCUUAAUACAUGCAAGUCGAGGGGCAGCAUGACUGUAGCAAUACGGUUGAUGGCGACCGGCAAACGGGUGCGGAACACGUACAGAACCUUCCCUCGAGCGGGGAAUAGCCCAGAGAAAUUUGGAUUAAUACCCCAUAGUAUUACGGAGUGGCAUCACUUUGUAAUUAAAGAUUUAUCACUUGAAGAUGGCUGUGCGGCUGAUUAGGUAGUUGGCGGGGUAACGGCCCACCAAGCCUGCGAUCAGUAACUGGUGUGGGAGCACGACCAGUCACACGGGAACUGAGACACGGGGCCGACUCCGACGGGAGGCAGCAGUAAGGAAGAUUGGUCAAUGGACGAAAGUCUGAACCAGCCAUGCCGCGUGGAGGAUGAAGGUCCUCUGGAUUGUAAACUUCUUUUAUAUGGGACGAAAAAAGGCUUUUCUAGGUCGUCUGACGGUACCAUAUGAAUAAGCACCGGCUAACUCCGUGCCAGCCGCCGCCGUAACAC
rnacentral:rRNA from 1 species